rnacentral:rRNA from 1 species
UAAUACGAAGGGAGCUAGCGUUACUCGGAAUCACUGGGCGUAAAGCGCAUGUAGGCGGAAUUAUAAGUCAGGGGUGAAAUCCCAAGGCUCAACCUUGGAAUUGCCUUUGAAACUGUAAUACUUGAGUAUGGUAGAGGAUAGUGGAAUUUCCAGUGUAGAGGUGAAAUUCGUAGAUAUUGGAAAGAACACCGGUGGCGAAGGCGGCUAUCUGGACCAUUACUGACGCUGAGAUGCGAAAGCGUGGGGAGCAAACGGGAUUAGAUACCCCGGUAGUCCACGCCGUAAACGAUGAGUGCUAGUUGUUAGAUUUUUCUAGUAACACAGUUAACACGUUAAGCACUCCGCCUGGGGAGUACGGUCGCAAGAUUA